rnacentral:rRNA from 1 species
UACAGAGGGGGCAAGCGUUGUUCGGAAUUACUGGGCGUAAAGGGCGCGUAGGCGGCCUGCUAAGUCGAACGUGAAAUCCCCGGGCUCAACCCGGGAACUGCGUCCGAUACUGGUGGGCUUGAAUCCGGGAGAGGGAUGUGGAAUUCCAGGUGUAGCGGUGAAAUGCGUAGAUAUCUGGAGGAACACCGGAGGCGAAGGCGGGUUACUGGGCUGAUACUGACGCUGAUGCGCGAAAGCUAGGGGAGCAAACGGG